GCGUGGGUGGUGUAGUGGUAACAUAGGUCGUUGCCAUUCAGGCCGCCUGAUCAUGUGUCGAAGUAAAUUCGACCUGCCCGGGGUUCGAUUCCCUGUCCACGCA